AUGACGUAUCUCACAGCGUCCGGCUCUGAGUUAACCGGAGGGAGCAUGUGGGUCUGCGGGGCGCGAACCCCGGCUCAGCUGGGGCGGCGGCUAUUACCCGCGUUCCGCCGCCGCCGGCCUGCUGCCGCCGCCUUCUCCGCAUCUGCCGAGCCCUCCCGGGUCCGGGCGCUGGUCUAUGAGCACCACGGGGACCCAGCCAAGGUCGUCGAACUGAAGAACGUGGAGCUGGCUGCUGUGGGCGGAUCAGACGUCCAUGUGAAGAUGCUGGCAGCCCCUGUCAAUCCAUCUGACAUUAAUAUGAUCCAAGGAAAUUAUGGCCUCCUUCCCAAGCUGCCUGCUGUUGGAGGGAAUGAAGGUGUUGGACAGGUCGUAGCAGUGGGCAGCAGUGUGACCAGGGUGAAGCCAGGAGACUGGGUGAUUCCAGCGAAUGCUGGUUUGGGAACCUGGCGGACCGAGUCUGUGUUCAGCGAGGAAGCGCUCAUCUCCGUUCCGAGCGACAUCCCUCUUCAGAGCGCCGCCACCCUGGGCGUCAACCCCUGUACGGCCUACCGGAUGCUGAUGGACUUUGAGCAGCUGCGGCCAGGGGAUUCUGUCAUCCAGAAUGCAUCCAACAGUGGAGUGGGUCAAGCAGUCAUCCAGAUCGCCGCAGCCCUUGGCCUGAGGACCAUCAACGUGGUCCGAGACAGACCUGACAUCCAGAAGCUGACCGACAGACUGAAGAAUCUGGGGGCCCAUCAUGUUGUCACAGAAGAGGAACUAAGAAAGCAUGAGAUGAAAAACUUCUUUAAGGAUGUGCCCCAGCCUCAGCUUGCUCUCAACUGUGUCGGCGGGAAAAGCUCCACGGAGCUGCUGCGGCACUUGGCGCCUGGAGGAACCAUGGUGACCUAUGGGGGGAUGGCCAAGCAGCCUGUCGUCGCCUCUGUGAGCCUGCUCAUUUUUAAGGAUCUCAAACUUCGGGGCUUUUGGUUAUCCCAGUGGAAGAAGGACCACAGUCCAGACCAGUUCAAGGAGCUGAUCCUCACGCUGUGCGAUCUCAUCCACCGAGGCCAGCUCACGGCCCCUGCCUGCUCCGAGGUCCCACUGCAGGACUACCAGCGUGCCUUAGAAGCAUCCAUGCAGCCUUUCGUGUCUUCCAAGCAGAUCCUCACCAUGUGAUGUGAUAAUCCCAGAGGAGCCGGAGCCAAGUGGGAGGGGAGACGGAUCAGCAGGACUGGUUUCGGGCCCCCCAGUUGGGGCCCUCCGCCUUCCGCAGUCUGCUCCUCUCCCCACCGCCACUUCUGAGUCGGAGAAUUGGGAGGCCAGCCAAGGCUCUCCCUGGGGCCAGCCCCCGGGUAUCUAAUAAAGUCCGAACUUCCUAAAAAAACAAACAAAAAAAACCAAUAGAAGUCACCCCUAAUAAGAAGGACCAUCCCUUGCCAGCUCCCAGCACUAGAAGCCCCCCUUACCUACCCUCCACCUAUCCUCCAGCCAUCACUUCCUGACAGCCCUGAAAGCAAAGCCUUGGCGGGGCUGGCAGGUACAAAAGCCAGUAAAACAGAUCUCUGCCCUCAAGCCCUUCAAGCCCACAGAGGAGAAUCUUCUGAAAAGGAAGGUUUGACUCAUUCUCAGGUGGCCUUCGGCUCAAUCUGGGACAGGGGGAGGAUCAGCUCCACAGAGGAGUGAAUGCCAGGCUGAGAAACCAAGGAAAUGGGGUCUCAGGUGCCUGGGCCAUCCUCAUGGAACUUCCAUUCUAACUGGGGAGAUAGAUGUUACACCAGUGGUCCUCAACCUGAGCUCAUUUUACUCCCAGGGGACACUGGUUAUCAUAUUUGAGGGGGUGUUACUAGUGCCUAGUGAGCAGAGGCCAGUGAUGCUGCUACAGCGUCCUACAGCGCACAGCACAGCCUCCCUCAGCAGGGGCUUAUCCAGCCCAAAUGUCCACAGUGCCGCUGUUGAGAAACCCCGCAUCAAACCACUGGUCCCACGACAGUUACCAUAGUGAUGAGUGUGCAAAAGAAGACACGCGUGAGGUGCGGUGAGCGCCUAACCAAGAUCCUGUCCUAGGCCUCCCUGAGGUGAAGCUUGAAAGUGGGCCCUGAAAAAUGAGUAGCUUUAUUCAGACAAAGAGAAGAGUUUGACACUAUGUGAGUUUUUGGUGUUUGCUUCAUGAUCCACUCACUCAAAGCAAAGAACCAGAGGCUUUGGGGUGUCUCCCUCAUCACCUGGCCCUCUGUCCCUGAGCUCUAGAGCCUCACUGCGGGGGGACUUACUGAGAGCCUAGCAUGUGCCUGAGGCCAGGGCUGCCCGUGAGUGACGCGGGGCUGGCCCGCAAGUAGCUAAGCCUAGUGCACAGCAUACUCAUGAGGCCGCUGAUACGGAGGUGUUCGGAGGGCCGUGGGGACACAGCAGCUCUGCCUGAGGGUUUAAGGAAGGCCUCCCAGAGGAAGUAUGGUCACAGCCAAUCUUAAGGCCCAGCAGGAGAAGGUGUACCAAGCAAAGCCAACAGCACUUGUGAGAGUCUGGCAGCCCUGGAGAGCCUAGCAGUCGGGGAACUGCCCACAGGUAAGUAUAGCUGCUGCCUAGGACGUGGGGGGAGUAUGAAGACUGAGAUGGGAGCAGUGGGCAGCAGUCAGAGCAGGAAGGCUCAGGACUUGCCCCCAAGACAUGGGGGAGGCACUGAGGGAUUUUAGGCCGUGGAGUGAUGUGGAAAACUGGCUCUGAAGGCUAGUUACAUGCCAGCACGUACCUGGGCCCCGGCAUCAUCCUCUUGUCUUCGGGAGCAUCUUGUGUGUCCUCUGGAGAAAAGGACUCGGCUGCAUCCUGGGGCUGGGAAAGGUCUACAGGUGCUCUCUGGGUAAGAUUUGCCUCCUUGUACACCUGGGCUCAGAAGCAGCCGCAGCUCACCCAAGUCCCUCCCGUUCUGUAUCCUCAAGAUCAGUGGGAUGGAUGAUUUGUGCAGUUGGUCAAUGGGGGAAAGUGCAAAAAGUCUUGAGAGGGAGCGGGAGGCUGCCCAGAGCCUACAGGAGUGAAAGUUAGGAUUAGGUUCUGCAGGGGGACUCCACAAGGUUGGGCUUAGGGGAUGCGAUGAGCCUGCAGCCAUGGAGAAGGAUCGGGCCCCUGGUAGAGACUCAUAGUGGGCAGACAGGUGGGAGGAAGGUUCAUAACACCACAUCACAGUUAGAGACCUCGGGGGUGUGCAGAGUGUCCCGGGAAUAGUACCUCUGGGGGUCUGGAGCUGAUUUUUUUUUUUUUUUUUUUUUUUUUUUUUUGGCUGCUCCAUUUGGCAUGAGGGAUGUUAGUUCCCCGACCAGGGAUCAAAAUCAUGGCCCCUGCAUUGGGGGCACGGAGUCUUAACCACUGGACCGCCAGGGAAGUCCCUGGAGCUGGAGCUGAUCUUGGGCUUUAAAGGAUGAUAGUAUUUUCUCAGGCAGGGGAGGGAGACAAGCAUUACAGACUAAGGGACCAGGCUAAGUUAUAGAGGCAGAACAUUUAUGUCAGAAUCUUCUCGUUUUCCCCAAAUACCAUUCUAUUGCUAAGAAUUAAAACUGAUGACUCUUAGGCGGGCACAUGGUGGGCUGGAAUAAACAGUUUCCCUGCCUCCCUUGCAGCUGACAAGCUCUGGCACAUGUGAUGUAAGCAGAGGUGCUAGGUGUCCAUUUCUUAGGAACCUCUUUAAAAUAUAGCUGGCACCCAUCCUGUACCCUUUCCUUCCCCUUUCACCUUCCUCCUGGCUGGGAUACAAACAUGGAAUUUGCACAUCCACCUUUGACCAUGUUGAGAAUGGGACAGCGGCAAGAUCAAAGGAGCCUGCGUCCCUGAGACCCAGAAACACUGACUGCCCACCUGAGGACUUGAGAAAUAAGCUUCUGUGUUAUUUAAGCCCCUAGUGUUUGGGCUUUCUCUGAACCUAAUCAUAAAUGAUACAUAUUCUAUGAUUUAAUUUAUAUUGAAAUCCUGUCAAUCCAUCUGAAGCUGAAAAUUUCACAAAAUCACAGUCUGAAUUGUGGCAGUGUGUGAUUCCCAGCUAAGGAAUUUGGACUUCACCCUACUGGCAGUAGGGAACAAAAGAUUUCUGAGCCAGAAGAUCAGAACUGUGGUUCAGAAAAAUCCCUCUGGCAGCAACCUGGGGGGACAAUUUGGAGAAGGGAGGUGCUAAAGGAAGAGAUAAUCAGAAAUUCCCAGAUAAGUAAAGUCUCCCUAAAUUUUGAAGACCAACAUAGGGAUUACCAACAUUUAAUGAGGCCAGCAGAGGAAAGGAGCUUGAGGCAAAACAAUGUCAAAAGGGAAUCUGACUUAAGAUGGAUCAUCGCUUCCCUACUUAACAAGUACAGGAGAUUGUUUUUCAUUUUCAGGCUGAAUAAUCUCUCUGUGGAGUUGGGACAGCUCUUCGGGCCCACUAAGUAAACAAUAUACUUUUUAAGUGGCUGAAGGAGGAACUCUGGCUCCAGGAGACCAAAGGAGGACAAUCAGGCAUGACCUCCUAAACCAAAGCUUGGGUGCACCUGAAGCCCUGAGGCUUCAUGACUGGCUCUCCCUGUUGUCUUCUGGAAUCAUCCACCCUUCAACUGCCUACAGCCACUGUCAUAAUAUUGAUGACUGUCUGGUGUCUUGGGACACCAAUUAACCCUGCUUUCCUCAGGGAAAAAACCGAUGCCCGGAAGAAAGAGGUUCUUGCAUUAGCCUGUGUGCCAGGCAUCUCUGCCCUGGUACCUGGAAGCUGUCAGCAGCUCCCGCCAGCCCCAUGCUUAUUGACAGGUACCAUGCCCUGGGUAGGACGCUGGGCCCAGCUUGGGCAGCUGGAGGAAAUGGUGGAAGAAGAGAAACUCAGUCCUGGCACAGCAUCUGCCUGCAUCUGAAGGCAGGAAGAUCCUGGGAAGACAGAGGGCCCACCCGCAGAAGAGGAAGAUGCUGAGAGAGGAAGUGAGCUGCUCAAGGUCACAUACCAGGAAGCAAGCUGGCACCAGAGGCCAGGUCCCCUGACCCUGUCUGGUCAGCAUGCCAGUCAACCCCAGUUCCUCUGGCCCCACAGUUGGACUUUGAGCUCCCUCUUUUCUCAGGACUCCUUGAUUUUGUUCAGUAAUAAUUGACAUGUCACUCAGAAUUUCCCUGAGUCUGUGUCUCACGGGGAAGCAUGAAAAAAAGCAGGAGGCCACUGAAGUAAUCCAGGUGAGAACUCAUUCACUUAUUAAUUCGGUAAAUAGUUUGAACACCCGCUAUGUGAAAAGCACUGUCAGAAGUGCCAGGGAUACAGCAGGAGCCAAACAUCGUGGCCCAUGAUACCAGGAAGCUUACAUUCUAGUGGAGGAGAAAGACAGUGAACAAGUGAAUAAAUGAGGUAAUUACAGAGUGUAGCAAGCGCUGUGAAAGGAAAAAUAAAGUGAUAUCAUAGUGAUGGGGGGUACUUGAGAGAAGGUGGGCAAGGAAGGUCUGAGUCCUGAAUAAGAAGUCAGCCAUGUUCCAGGCAGGGGGAGCAGCAUGUUAAAGCCCUGAUGUGUGAACAGUAUGACGAGGCCUGAACUGGCUUAGCUAAGUGGGAGUGAAGUGAAUGGAUUCGUGAAUAUUUAGAAGGAAGAAUCAACAAGAUAGAGUGAAUGAGGUGCGUGAAGGUGGAACUUUGGCACCUUCCUGGAAGGAGGUGCCACUCCCUGAGUUAGCAAGCUCCAGAAGAGGAGCAGGUUUUGGAGACAGGUAUAUCGGUGGGCAGGGUUCUUUCCCAUCUGUACAAUAGGUUGAGCAGAUUAUUUAACAACCAAGUUUAGCACUGGUUCUUCAUAAUACAGGUACUAUGAUCCUCACACUUUACAAAAUACCAAACGGAUCAGGACUGCAGCAUAAAAAUCAGUUCUAAAAGUAACAGAAUAAACCAUGGGAGGUUUUGUUUGUUUGACUACGCC